rnacentral:rRNA from 1 species
UACGUAGGGGGCAAGCGUUGUCCGGAUUUAUUGGGCGUAAAGAGCGUGUAGGCGGUUUGGUAGGUCCGCUGUGAAACCUCGAGGCUCAACCUCGAGACGCCGGUGGAAACCAUCAGACUAGAGUCCGGAAGAGGAGAGUGGAAUUCCUGGUGUAGCGGUGAAAUGCGCAGAUAUCAGGAGGAACACCAAUGGCGAAGGCAGCUCGCUGGGACGUGACUGACGCUGAGACGCGAAAGCGUGGGGAGCAAACAGG